rnacentral:rRNA from 1 species
CCUACGGGUGGCUGCAGUGGGGAAUAUUGCACAAUGGGGGAAACCCUGAUGCAGCGACGCCGCGUGAGUGAAGAAGUAAUUCGUUACGUAAAGCUCUAUCAGCAGGGAAGAAAAUGACGGUACCUGAGCAAGAAGCACCGGCCAACUACGUGCCAGCAUCCGCGGUAAUACGUAGGGGGCAAGCGUUAUCCGGAGUUACUGGGUGGAAAGGGAGCGUAGACGGUGCGCCAAGGCUGGAGUGAAAUGCCGCGGCUUAACUGCUGAACUGCUUUGGAAACUGGCGAACUAGAGUGCUGGAGAGGUAAGCGGAAUGCCUAGUGUAGCGGUGAAAUGCGUAGAUAUUAGGAGGAACACCGGUGGCGAAGGCGGCUUACUGGACCGUAACUGACGUUGAGGCUCGAAAGCGUGGGGAGCAAACAGGAUUAGAUACCCUAGUAGUC